rnacentral:rRNA from 1 species
AGGUAGUAUCACCAAGAAAAACCCAUGUAGUUUGGCGGCAUUUCCCCCCAUCAGAGGAACUUGUUUUUUAAUCGAUAAUCCCCGUUAAAUCUUACUUUUUAUAUAAGCUUACAUACCGCCGUUUAAAGAAUAAUCCGACAAGAUGUAUUCUAAACAUUUCUUAUAAUAAAUCAGGUCAAGGUGUAGUCUAUUAAAAAGCUAAAAUGAGUUACAUUAAACACAAUUUAAGGAAUUAUCUUAAAUAAGAUCAAUGAAAAAGAAUUUGACAAUAAUUAUAAAAUAAUAAUUUAAAAUGAAUUUGUAAGUAAAUGUGC